CAUGAUUUACAUUUGAGUGAGUGGCGAACUGGUGAGUAACACGUGGGAAACCUGCCCAGAAGCGGGGGAUAACACCUGGAAACAGAUGCUAAUACCGCAUAACAACUUGGACCGCAUGGUCCGAGCUUGAAAGAUGGCUUCGGCUAUCACUUUUGGAUGGUCCCGCGGCGUAUUAGCUAGAUGGUGGGGUAACGGCUCACCAUGGCAAUGAUACGUAGCCGACCUGAGAGGGUAAUCGGCCACAUUGGGACUGAGACACGGCCCAAACUCCUACGGGAGGCAGCAGUAGGGAAUCUUCCACAAUGGACGAAAGUCUGAUGGAGCAACGCCGCGUGAGUGAAGAAGGGUUUCGGCUCGUAAAACUCUGUUGUUAAAGAAGAACAUAUCUGAGAGUAACUGUUCAGGUAUUGACGGUAUUUAACCAGAAAGCCACGGCUAACUACGUGCCAGCAGCCGCGGUAAUACGUAGGUGGCAAGCGUUGUCCGGAUUUAUUGGGCGUAAAGCGAGCGCAGGCGGUUUUUUAAGUCUGAUGUGAAAGCCUUCGGCUCAACCGAAGAAGUGCAUCGGAAACUGGGAAACUUGAGUGCAGAAGAGGACAGUGGAACUCCAUGUGUAGCGGUGAAAUGCGUAGAUAUAUGGAAGAACACCAGUGGCGAAGGCGGCUGUCUGGUCUGUAACUGACGCUGAGGCUCGAAAGUAUGGGUAGCAAACAGGAUUAGAUACCCUGGUAGUCCAUACCGUAAACGAUGAAUGCUAAGUGUUGGAGGGUUUCCGCCCUUCAGUGCUGCAGCUAACGCAUUAAGCAUUCCGCCUGGGGAGUACGGCCGCAAGGCUGAAACUCAAAGGAAUUGACGGGGGCCCGCACAAGCGGUGGAGCAUGUGGUUUAAUUCGAAGCUACGCGAAGAACCUUACCAGGUCUUGACAUACUAUGCAAAUCUAAGAGAUUAGACGUUCCCUUCGGGGACAUGGAUACAGGUGGUGCAUGGUUGUCGUCAGCUCGUGUCGUGAGAUGUUGGGUUAAGUCCCGCAACGAGCGCAACCCUUAUUAUCAGUUGCCAGCAUUAAGUUGGGCACUCUGGUGAGACUGCCGGUGACAAACCGGAGGAAGGUGGGGAUGACGUCAAAUCAUCAUGCCCCUUAUGACCUGGGCUACACACGUGCUACAAUGGAUGGUACAACGAGUUGCGAACUCGCGAGAGUAAGCUAAUCUCUUAAAGCCAUUCUCAGUUCGGAUUGUAGGCUGCAACUCGCCUACAUGAAGUCGGAAUCGCUAGUAAUCGCGGAUCAGCAUGCCGCGGUGAAUACGUUCCCGGGCCUUGUACACACCGCCCGUCACACCAUGAGAGUUUGUAA
rnacentral:rRNA from 2 species